GACGAACGCUGGCGGCGUGCUUAACACAUGCAAGUCGAACGGGCCUGUCUUCUUUUUUGGGGGUGGGUUGAGUGGCGAACGGGUGAGUAUCACGUGAGUAACCUGCCCUUCGGUCCUGGAUAACCGCUUGAAAGGGCGGCUAAUACGGGGUGGUCCGGUUGGUCCGCAUGGGCUGGUCGGGAUAGAUUCACUGUUUUUGGUGUUUCGGCGGGGGAUGGGCUCGCGGCCUAUCAGCUUGUUGGUGGGGUGAUGGCCUACCAAGGCGGUGACGGGUAGCCGGCCUGAGAGGGUGGGCGGCCACACUGGGACUGAGAUACGGCCCAGACUCCUGCGGGAGGCAGCAGUGGGGGGUAUUGCACAAGGGGCGGAAGCCUGAUGCAGCGACGUCGCGUGAGGGAGGGAGGCCUUCGGGUUGUGAACCUCUGUUUCCGGUGGUGAAGGCCCUGUCCGUGUGGUGGGGUUGACGGUAGCCGGGGAUGAAGCGCCGGCUAACUACGUG
rnacentral:rRNA from 1 species